UACGUAGGUGGCAAGCGUUACUCGGAAUCACUAGGCGUAAAGCGCAGGUAGGCGGUUUGAUAAGUCUGUUGUGAAAGCUCCCGGCUCAACUGGGAGAGGCCAACGGAAACUGUCAGGCUUGAGUGUGGUAGAGGAAACUGGAAUUCCUGGUGUAGCGGUGAAAUGCGUUGAUAUCAUCAGGAAUACCGGAGGCGAAGGCGGCUCACUGGGGCUUUUCUGACGCUGAGGAACGAAAGCCAGGGUAGCGAACGGG
rnacentral:rRNA from 1 species